rnacentral:rRNA from 1 species
CCUACGGGUGGCAGCAGUGAGGAAUAUUGGUCAAUGGACGAGAGUCUGAACCAGCCAAGUAGCGUGAAGGAUGACUGCACUAUGGGUUGUAAACUUCUUUUAUAUGGGAAUAAAACAGGGGUUGCAGACCAUAUUGUAUGUACAAUAUGAAUAAGGAUCGGCUAACUCCGUGACAGCAGCCGCGGUAAUACGGAGGACCCGAGGGUUAUCCGGAUUGAUUGGGUUUAAAGGGAGCGUAGGUGGAUUGUUAAGGCAGUUGUGAAAGUUUGCGGCUCAACCGUAAAAUUGCAGUUGAAACUGGCAGUCUUGAGUACAGUAGAGGUGGGCGGAAUUCGUGGUGUAGCGGUGAAAUGCUUAGAUAUCACGAAGAACUCCGAUUGCGAAGGCAGCUCACUGGACUGCAACUGACACUGAUGCUUGAAAGUGUGGGUAUCAAACAGGAUUAGAUACCCGGGUAGUC